rnacentral:rRNA from 1 species
UACGGGGGGAGCAAACGUUGUUCGGAAUCACUGGGCGUAAAGGGCGUGUAGGCGGCUGGAUAAGUGGGAUGUUAAAUCCCCCGGCUCAACCGGGGACCUGCAUCUCAUACUGUUCAGCUCGAGCACAUCAGAGGAGACUGGAAUUCCCGGUGUAGCGGUGAAAUGCGUAGAUACCAGGAGGAACACCGGUGGCGAAGGCGGUUUCCUGGCCGAGUACUGACGCUGAGGCACGAAAGCGUGGGGAGCGAACGGG